AAGAGGAGCGCUAAAUGCAGUCGAGCGGACAGAUGAGGAGCUUGCUCCUCUGAUGUUAGCGGCGGACGGGUGAGUAACACGUGGGCAACCUACCUGUAAGACGGGGAUAACUCCGGGAAACCGGAGCUAAUACCGGAUAAUAAAGAGAAACGCCUGUUUCUUUUUUGAAAGUCGGUUUCGGCUGACACUUACAGAUGGGCCCGCGGCGCAUUAGCUAGUUGGUGAGGUAACGGCUCACCAAGGCGACGAUGCGUAGCCGACCUGAGAGGGUGAUCGGCCACACUGGGACUGAGACACGGCCCAGACUCCUACGGGAGGCAGCAGUAGGGAAUCUUCGGCAAUGGACGAAAGUCUGACCGAGCAACGCCGCGUGAGCGAUGAAGGCCUUCGGGUCGUAAAGCUCUGUUGUCAGGGAAGAACAAGUACCGGAGUAACUGCCGGUACCUUGACGGUACCUGACCAGAAAGCCACGGCUAACUACGUGCCAGCAGCCGCGGUAAUACGUAGGUGGCAAGCGUUGUCCGGAAUUAUUGGGCGUAAAGCGCGCGCAGGCGGUUCUUUAAGUCUGAUGUGAAAGCCCACGGCUCAACCGUGGAGGGUCAUUGGAAACUGGGGAACUUGAGUGCAAGAGAGAAAAAUGGAAAUCCCCGUGUAGCGGUGAAAUGCCUAAAGAUGUGGAGGAACACCAGUGGCGAAAGGCGCCUUUUGGGCUGUUACUGACGCUUAAAGCCGAAAGCGUGGGGAGCAAAAAAGAUUAAAUACCCCGGUAGUCCACCCCCUAAAACCAUGAAUGCCAAGUGUUGGGGGGGUCCACCCUCAGUGCUGAACCUUAAACAUUUAAGCACUCCGCCCGGGGAGAACGGCCGCCAGGGUGAACCUCCAAAGAAUUACGGGGGCCCCCCCCAACA
rnacentral:rRNA from 1 species